AUACUUACCUGGCAGGGGAGACACCAUAAUCACAAAAGCGGUUUUCCCACGGUGAGGCUUAUCCAUUGCACUCCAGAUAUGCUGACCCUUGCAGUGUCCCCAAAUAUGGAAAACUCAACUGCAUAAUUUGUGUUAGUGAGUGACAGUGUUCAUGCUCCUCCCU
rnacentral:snRNA from 1 species